rnacentral:rRNA from 1 species
GUGGGGAAUUUUGGACAAUGGGCGCAAGCCUGAUCCAGCAAUGCCGCGUGCAGGAAGAAGGCCUUCGGGUUGUAAACUGCUUUUGUACGGAACGAAACGGUCCUGGCUAAUAUCCGGGGCUAAUGACGGUACCGUAAGAAUAAGCACCGGCUAACUACGUGCCAGCAGCCGCGGUAAUACGUAGGGUGCGAGCGUUAAUCGGAAUUACUGGGCGUAAAGCGUGCGCAGGCGGUGCUGUAAGACAGGCGUGAAAUCCCCGGGCUCAACCUGGGAAUUGCGCUUGUGACUGCAGUGCUGGAGUGCGACAGAGGGGGAUGGAAUUCCGCGUGUAGCAGUGAAAUGCGUAGAUAUGCGGAGGAACACCGAUGGCGAAGGCAAUCCCCUGGGCCUGCACUGACGCUCAUGCACGAAAGCGUGGGGAGCAAACAGGAUUAGAAACCCGUGUAGUCC